rnacentral:miRNA from 8 species
AAUCAGCAAGUAUACUGCCGCA